UUCCGGUUGAUCCUGCCGGACCCGACCGCUAUCGGGGUAGGGCUAAGCCAUGCGAGUCGCGCGCCCGGGGGCGCCCGGGAGCGGCGCACGGCUCAGUAACACGUGCCCAACCUACCCUCGGGAGGGGGACACCCCCGGGAAACUGGGGCCAAUCCCCCAUAGGGGAGGGGCGCUGGAAGGCCCCCUCCCCCAAAGGGAUGGCGGCCGAUCCGCCGCCAUCCGCCCGAGGAUGGGGGCACGGCCCAUCAGGUAGUUGGCGGGUUAAAGGCCCGCCAAGCCGAAGACGGGUAGGGGCGGUGAGAGCCGCGAGCCCCGAGAUCGGCACUGAGACAAGGGCCGAGGCCCUACGGGGUGCAGCAGGCGCGAAUACUCCGCAAUGCGGGAAACCGUGACGGGGCCACCCCGAGUGCCGCCCGAAGAGGGCGGCUUUUGCCCGGUGUAAAAAGCCGGGAGAAUAAGCGGGGGGCAAGUCUGGUGUCAGCCGCCGCGGUAAUACCAGCUCCGCGAGUGGUCGGGGUGUUUACUGGGCUUAAAGCGCCCGUAGCCGGCCCGGCAAGUCGCUCCUGAAAUCCCCGGGCUCAACCCGGGGGCGGGGGGCGAUACUGCCUGGCUAGGGGGCGGGAGAGGCCGCCGGUACUCCGGGGGUAGGGGCGAAAUCCGUUAAUCCCCGGAGGACCACCAGUGGCGAAAGCGGGCGGCCAGAACGCGCCCGACGGUGAGGGGCGAAAGCCGGGGGAGCAAAGGGGAUUAGAUACCCCUGUAGUCCCGGCCGUAAACGAUGCGGGCUAGCUGUCGGCCGGGCUUAGGGCCCGGCCGGUGGCGAAGGGAAACCGUUAAGCCCGCCGCCUGGGGAGUACGGCCGCAAGGCUGAAACUUAAAGGAAUUGGCGGG
rnacentral:rRNA from 1 species